AGCUUGCUCCAAAACUUAGUGGCGGACGGGUGAGUAACGCGUGGGUAACCUGCCCUUAAGUGGGGGACAACAGUUGGAAACGACUGCUAAUACCGCAUAAAGUUAAGAGUUCACAUGGACUUUUAACCAAAGGAGUAAUCCGCUUUUGGAUGGACCCGCGUCUGAUUAGCUAGUUGGUGAGGUAACGGCUCACCAAGGCGACGAUCAGUAGCCGGCCUGAGAGGGUGAACGGCCACACUGGGACUGAGACACGGCCCAGACUCCUACGGGAGGCAGCAGUGGGGCAGUUGGCUCAGAACGAACGCUGGCGGCGUGCCUAAUACACGCCAGUCGAGCGAACCUUUUAAAAGCUUGCUUUUGAAAGGUUAGCGGCGGGCGGGUGAGUAACACGUGGGCAACCUGCCUAUAAGACUGGGAUAACUUCGGGAAACCGGAGCUAAUACCGGAUCAUUCUUUUCUACACCAUGUAGGAAAGCUGAAAGACGGUUUACGCUGUCACUUAUAAGUGGGCCCGCCGGCGCAUUACCCUCAUUGGUCAGGUAAACGCCUCACCAAGGCCACGAUUGCGUAACCCAACCAGCAAAAGGUAAAUCGGCCUACCCUGGGGACCGC
rnacentral:misc_RNA from 1 species